rnacentral:rRNA from 1 species
CUGAGCCUACGGGGCGCAGCAGUGGGGGAUAUUGCACAAUGGGGGAAACCCUGAUGCAGCGACACCGCGUGGGUGAAGAAGCGCUUCGGCGUGUAAAGCCCUAUCAGUGGGGAAGAAAAAGGACGGUACACAAAGAAGAAGCACCGGCUAAAUACGUGCCAGCAGCCGCGGUAAUACGUAUGGUGCAAGCGUUAUCCGGAAUGACUGGGCGUAAAGGGAGCGUAGCCGGUUGUACAAGUCUGAUGUGAAAGCCCACGGCUCAACUGUGGGAGUGCAUUGGAAACUGUAGAACUAGAGUAUCGGAG